rnacentral:rRNA from 1 species
AUCUUUAAGAUUUAAUUUAAAGUAAAACCUGCUCAAUGAUAAAUUAAAUAGCCGCAGUUUUCACUGUGCUAAGGUAGCAUAAUAAUUAGCUUCAUAAUUGGAAGAUUGUAUGAAAGGUUUAACAAAAAUCAACUAUUUCUAUAUAAUAAACAAAAUUAAUUUAAAUGUUAAAAAGCAUUUAUAUACUCAUAAGACGACAAGACCCUAACAAACUUACUAUUUUAUUGGGGCAAUUAAUUAAAAAUACUUUAUAUAAUUUUCAACACAUAACUAUUUUUAAUAAUAAAGAUUCAGUUACUGUAGGGAUAACAGCGCAAUAUCUUUCAAAAGUUCUAAUAUAAAAAGAAAUUUGCGACCUCGAUGUUGAAUUAACUUAACUUUUUGGAGCAAAAUCUAACUAAGUUGGUCUGUUCACCAUUAAUAAAGU